CAGAAGAUUGCUCGGAGCGUCGUCUCCGAAAGCAGCGUAACCCAUACAUCCACACAGUAUGUAGAACACCGUCGUCACUGUUAUGCUAAUCGACGUCGCCUUCUUCAUCGUUUUGUGCUCUGCCGGCGGUGAUUUCACUGUAUCCUAAUGAUGGAGAAAGAGUAAGCGAAGGCAAUGGCUCCUAGAGCCUGUAAGGUCCUCCAUAGCUUCUGGUUCGGAGUAACCAAUCCGGCGUGCGACUCUGUUCCGAUGCUUAUUCCGUUACCUGCAGUUUUGGCGAUACCGAGAGAAAGACCGACGGUGGAGUAGGUGAAGGACAUAACAGCUGCAACAAUGGAAAGCCACCAUACUUGAUCGAAAUCUGGAAUUUGAGAGAAGAGAAUCUCAAUGAUUCCAAACGUUAUCAUAUCUCCGUUGCUAGACAUAUGACAUUUGCUCUUCUUGUGUGUCUUGUGGAAGCAGUUUGAUCGUUUUACUGCACUCAUGCUGACAGAGGCAGCAAUGGUGUAGCCGAUGGCUAUGCCGAACAAAUUGAGGUACUGAAUCAGACCACAUAGCUUCACCUUCCGGCCGCCUGAUCAUCGAGAAUGAAAAUCAUUACUGAGUCCCCUGAUCUGUAACAGAGGGAGAGGAGAUUUGAGGUGUAGAGAUUGACGAAAGCGAAGAGGGCCAUGGCCAAAGGACCAGCAACCCAGCCGAGCUGCGCAACGGCCCAUGCCAACGACAGCACGCCGGAACCGAUCACAGCAGUGAUGAUAUGUGAUGUUGCAGUCCACAAAGUUCCUGCACAGCUCAAAAUAGAUCUGCUUUAAUGGAGGAUGGAUAUUAAUGGGAUCAAGCGAAUUAGAGCAAUACUGCAUGCACAUUGGUUAAUUCUAUGAAUGAUGAUGCUGGGUGACUUGAGGGGUGUGGGAGGAGUCCCCUCAUGUCUGGGGUGAGUGACAAUUGAAGAUCGAUGGCUCAGUGCAUUAAGCCUACACCACCACCACCACUACCACCACUUGGCUACGAUGUUCUUCAACUUGGGUCAUAUUAUUUUAAUAUCUAGGGCGUGUUUAUUUUUUGAGAUAAUUUGAGGUACUAUUUUUUUUAUUUUUUUUUGUGAUAAUAUAAAAAUAAUAAAUUUUUGUAAUAUAUUAAUACUUUUAAUAC